GACGAACGCUGGCGGCGUGCCUAAUACAUGCAAGUCGAACGCUUCUUUCCUCCCGAGUGCUUGCACUCAAUUGGAAAGAGGAGUGGCGGACGGGUGAGUAACACGUGGGUAACCUACCCAUCAGAGGGGGAUAACACUUGGAAACAGGUGCUAAUACCGCAUAACAGUUUAUGCCGCAUGGCAUAAGAGUGAAAGGCGCUUUCGGGUGUCGUUGAUGGAUGGACCCGCGGUGCAUUAGCUAGUUGGUGAGGUAACGGCUCACCAAGGCCACGAUGCAUAGCCGACCUGAGGGGGUGAUCGGCAACACUGGGACUGAGACACGGCCCAGACUCCUAAGGGAGGCAGCAGUAGGGAAUCGUCGGCAAUGGACGAAAGUCUGACCGAGCAACGCCGCGUGAGUGAAGAAGGUGUUCGGAUCGUAAAACUCUGUUGUUAGAGAAGAACAAGGACGUUAGUAACUGAACGUCGCCUGACGGUAUCUAACCAGAAAGCCACGGCUAACUACGUG
rnacentral:rRNA from 1 species